AUGCGGGAAAUAUUAAUUGGGGAGCCGAUUGCCACCUGUCUUUCUCCUUCAGUGUAUGACAUGAUCUGUAAACUUGGGUUUGAAGUCAGAGAAAAUUGCGACAUCAGUAGUAUUGUAACUCAAAACGGUGAAGUAUGCUGGAAGAAAAUUACAGACUGCAUGGUUUAUACAGAAUCAGCCCAGGGUCUGGACCACCGGGAAAGCGUGCGGCUGCUGGGCCCCGUGUGCCAGGCCGUCCACCUGUAUCUGUCGUCUCUGCCCAAGGGGGAGUUUGAAGUUCAGUACGCACCAGCGCUCCAGUGGACAGGUGUUCCAGAGUUAUUUCCUGAAAUACUUGACGCCUUGAGAAGUCUUGAAUCUCCCAGUAUUUCUCUCAGCCUCAUGAAGCUCACGUCCUGUCUGGAGCGAGCCCUGGGUGACGUAUAUUUACUGAUUGGGAAGGACUGCCCCUUUCUUUUAAGAGACCUGCUCGCAUCUGAGGAACUUGCUCAAGUCUUCGGGCAGCCUGUGACCCUUCUACCAAAAUUGCCAUGUUUCCAGCCAAAGACACACCUCUCUCUCGUCCUGCUGCUGUGCUUCGAUGAGAGCCUCUGGUGUGGUGGCCUCAGGUGUGAGAGCUUCUGGUGUGAUGAGCAGAUGGACGUGCUCAAGGUCUUCGUGGGCUCCCCGCGUGGGCUCAACCUCCGCAACGUCCUGUGGCACGGCUUCGCGGCCCCUCGGGAGGUUCCGCCCAAAUACUGCUCGAUGAUGCUGCUGCUGACAGCAGGCUUGGGCCAGCUGCUGAAGGGCUUCCUUCAACAGGCGAACCUCACGUUGGCGCAUCGGCCUUUCGUGACCCUCGCGAGCGUAGAGGAUCUGAUUGUCUUUCCUGAUGUCCCUUCGGAGGUGCUUUCCGUAUUAGAAGAAGUGAUGAAGAAGUCCACUUUUAUACUGAAAAUCAUGUUGCCGUAUUGGGAAGUUGCAUUAACCAAGUUAAAGUCUCACAGGUUUGCUGACUGUGCCAUUUUACUGUUGGUGCAGCUGGAGACUGGACUCAGGAAGGCGUUUGCUGAAGUUAACGAGUGUCCAAAGAGGCUUCUCACUGCUGAGUCAACAGCUCUUUAUACUACCUUCGAUGAAAUAUUGGCAAAACACUUGAAUGAUGGUAAAAUCAACCAACUUCCUCUUUUCCUGGGAGAACCUGCAAUGGAAUUUCUCUGGGAUUUCCUAAACCAUCAGGAGGGUCCCCGUCUAAGAGAUCGGCUAAGCCACGGGGAAGUCAGUUUACCUGAAUUUCCGAAAGAAGCAGCCGGUCAGCUGCUUGCGUUUUCCUUUGUCCUUUUACUCAGGUUUAUUGAUGGAGAUCUGUUAGCAGCGUGUAAGGAAAAGGCAGCGGUGAGGUCACUGAUUAACCUUGCAGCAACCUACGUUUCUCGCUGCCACCCAGCUUCUCAGCUUAAAAAACAGGUGCUGAGCUGUGAGGGGAGCAUCGGAGCUUGGCCUCUGUUGCCUUUGCCCGAAGAAGCAGAAAGGGAGCCUGUGCGACCAGAAGGUGAUUCUGAGACAGAUGCCUGCAGCUCUUUAAUCACAGAGAUCGUGGCCGAGCUGUGUUGCCGUGCGCCUGAGACACACCGCGCUGCCCACCUCUCAGGGCCCCUUCCUCCUGAGCAGUGGCCGCGGCUGCUCCAUGCGCUCUGCAGCACCCCCGUGCGGACCCUCUUCUGCCCCCGAGCUGUCCUGGAGGUGCUGGCGGUGCUCCGGAGGGUCACCGCCCACUGCCGCCUCGUUGGUGUCCAGGUAGCUGCGUGCGUGGAGCUGAGGCGCCGGCAGUGGGAGGACCGAAGCCUGCGCUCGCGGCAGAGGCGGAAUUACCUGCGUCUGGCGCGCAGGUGCGUGCUGCGCACUCUGCUGGGCGGAGCUACGGUGGGCGGAGCUACGGUGGGCGGGGCCACGGCGGGCGGAGCUACGGUGGGCGGGGCCACGGUGGGCGGGGCCACGGCGGGCGGGGCCACGGCGGGCGGCUCUCAGCUGGUGGGCUUCUGCUCCCACUUCAGUUCAGUUCAGUCAGUUCAGUCGCUCAGCCGUGUCCGACUCUGCGACCCCAUGAAUCGCAGCACGCCAGGCCUCCCUGUCUAUCACCAACUCCCGGAGUUCACUCAGACUCGCGUCCAUCGAGUCCGAGAUGCCAUCCAGCCAUCUCAUCCUCGGUCGUCCCCUUCUCCUCCUGCCCCCAAUCUCUCCCAGCAUCAGAGUGUUUUCCAAUGA
rnacentral:lncRNA from 1 species